rnacentral:rRNA from 1 species
UACGAAGGGGGCGAGCGUUGUUCGGAUUUACUGGGCGUAAAGGGCGCGCAGGCGGCGAUCCAAGUCAGGCGUGAAAGCCCCGGGCUUAACCUGGGACGGUGGCGUCUGGGACUGGUACGCUAGAGUUCGGGAGAGGAGAGUGGAAUUCCCAGUGUAGAGGUGAAUUCGUAGAUAUUGGGAAGAACACCGGUGGCGAAGGCGGCUCUCUGGACCGAGACUGACGCUGAGGCGCGAAGGCGUGGGGAGCGAACGGG